GCUUUUAUAACUCAAAAUAGUGACUCUGGGUCCCUGGGUUCUGAUGCUAGCUGUUUUGGCGUCCUGCAGUCAUUUGUUUUGUUCAUGUGUAAAAUGGGGUGGUUGACCUGUGUAACCUCUAAGCUCUUCAAAAAAAAAGGCGUUUGUGCUCCUUGGCCUUGACCAUUCCCACAGGAGAAUGAAAAUCAAUUAUAUAGGAUGCUGGAGCUUCUGAAGGACACCACGUGGCUGUGAGUGGAAACACCCUUGGCUGUAGAGGAGGGUUUUUUGCUGAGGAAGCUGACUACCUCCAAUGAAGGCCUCUGAGAAGAGAUUUUGGGAGCACCCAUGGAAUAAAGGUUGGUACUGACUCUCUGGGCUCGAGACUGGUGCUCUGUGGCUGAGUCAGCUGGGGGUCAAAGAUGCCAACAUUAGACCAGCUUUGAAAGAGGACAAGAUGGUGCUGCCUGGCAACGCCCAUGUCAUUUCUGCCUGUGGCUUGAACAUGCUCUCUAUGCAGCUGAGAAAAUCACAGAAGGAAUUUCAUGAACUCACAGACCUUUCAUUAUUCCAGAAACUAGGGAGAGGAUGGAUCAGUAUUAAGACUGGGGUAAGCAUUGCAUACCUCUUCCUGGUCCCUUUAAGACCGCAAUCUGUCUUCCUGAGCUGGGGCAGGCUGUGUUUAGUUUUGGUAUUGACACCAGGCAGUUCUGAUUCACAGCAGUAACCUUCUUGUUUCCAUUUCAUUAAUUUUCAUUAAGGCUUAAAUAGCCAUGCAUGUGGCCUGGAUUUGGGGAAUUAGGGUGGAUCUCAACAAUUAAAAGUCCUUUAGGUCUUGCAGGUUAUCUCUGAGUAGAGAAAGACCAGAGAGAAAAACUCUCCCCCCCCCACCUCUUUUACUGCUGUGUUAGUUGAAGUGAUUUCAGUGGGACAAAUUGAAUAUGGGAAUGAUUUGCAUUUUAUUGCCCAGGUCUGCUCAUUGGGUCAGAAGAUGUCAUAAAGCAGAAGCCCACAGUUGCUGACAACCUCAGAGACAGCAGGCUGCUUCACAAAGAAAGUGGACUGGCUGUUCUCAUUCUUUAGAACGCGGCGGUAUAAUAAGCCACAUGCGUUUCCAGCCGAACUGCUCUGGCUCUGAGAGUCAGGUUUUGUGUUUUUCCAAGACCCAGGGAAGCAAAUAAGCCUGAGCAGAAGUUGGGGAGGUGGUCUGAAUUUAAGAAAGCAAGAAACCUGAGGUCUAGAAAAGAUUAGACUUGGAUGGCAACCUAGUAAGAAUUUUCUCUAAAACGUGGGUAGAAAUCUAAUCUAUGUGUUGGUGCUGUUGGACUUGUAAAAAGUUUAUAGCUGUAGGUUCUUGUUGUCUGAGGCAAGGAUUAGACCCUCCUGCUGGGAGAGGCAGGUAACACGAAUGGGCGAAGUGGGUCAGGUGGCCCAUAGGGAGCCUUUGUGUGAAUUAGGAAAAGGGGCCCCUUCCUCCCUGUGGAGGCCAACUGGGCUGCCUUUGAUUUCAGCCUUUCUGGGCCCCCUCAGCAGGCACAACCUAUCCAACUAAAUGCCUAUCUGAAAGGGGCACCCUGCUCAGCUCAAGACAACAUUUAUCAUGCCUGGGUGUGGACCCCACUUGCUAACAGCUUCUGAUUUGUUUUUAAAAACUGGAAAUUUAAUUUUUUUGUGUGAAAUAUCCUGAUUUUAAAAUGGAAGCCACAUCUUCAACUUUUUGUUCCCCCUAAAUAGUGUUGGAGUGAACCACCCAGGCGUGUGUGAGGGGUGGAUUGGGCUGCAAGUUUUCAGACCCUGGGAGGGUAGCGUAAAGGCGUUACUAAUACUCCACCCCUACUCUGACACACACACACACAAUUGAAACAAGAGUUCAGGCUCCUGGGAUUCUUUUCUUUGAUUCUUACACCCAAAUGAGCACACUUUUGGGAAAGAACAAAUGCCAAGCCAUGAGCGUCUUCAGACUGGUAAGGAGGAGAGUGCUCUCCAACAGAAGAGGGUAAAAACCCAAGGAAGUGAGAUGCAGGGCCCUUAAGAGAGGGCCUUCAUCAAGUGAGGUGAGCGCGGUUAACCAGGAGGGACAUUCUGCUCCAGGUGGUGGUCUUCUCUAGCCCAUGAUGAGCUUUGCCUCUUUAAUUGCCAAGCUGACUAGAAGAAUUCCACGUCUCCCCCUGGGGCAUUAAAAAUUGGGAAGGCAAAGGAGGAAUUCAUUGAGGGUGGCUGGCACGUCAGCUCCCUGGGGGGCCGAGCUCUGAGCAAUGCCUUGUGCCUCCCAGAGGCCCGUGACUCCGGCCCUGACAGUGUUUGGUCUUCCCUGCUGAGCCCAGGUUGAGUGCAUAGAGAUGGCUAAUUAAACUCUGAACUGACAAACACUCUGGAGAGACCCUUCUUUGAAGAGCAGGAGAUCACAGGGACAAUUUCCUGUUUGCCAGUUUGCAACCCCGGGUCUCAUCGGUUUGGGAAUGUGUUAAGUUUAACUAAGGCAUGUUGAUGGCAUUCAGUACCAUUCCCCUUCUGCUGAAAGUUCUAAUCCCGGAUUGGUGGUGAUCUCUUUUCUUCCCCCAUUUCAUUUUCAGGUGUGUGUGCUUUGGAGGGGGAGGGGUAUGUUAGAUCAGUCAAGCUUUAAGGGCGUAGUUAACCCAGAGAGUCUUUUGGUAUGACUGUUCUAUUAAAGGAAGAAAAGUAUGUCCUUCUGCCCAUAGAUGUAUAUUCACGCAUGUAUCCAGAUUUCCAUAUGCAUUUGAUAGGUAGAUGCAAAUACACACAAUAUAUAUGGAAGUAGAGUCAACAAUGUGGUUAGUUUGGUUUGGGGCCUUUGUGUGUCCUAUUCCCCUUCUGGGGUGAUCAGUUGGUUCCCAAAUGGUACUGAAGGACAGUGCUUCUCACAAGCAACCAAGGGGACCAAAUCUUUCUUUCGGGUAGGAUGUGUUGCAUAUGGUGGGCAUCCAGCAAAGAUCAGUUUAUCUGAUUUCUGUGAUUGCUUCAUUUGCUUUCAAGCUGUAAGAAAAAUAGAUACGUUCAAAUUGUGGAUUUGCCCUGUAUCGAACUGCUGGGAUCACAUUUAUCAAUGACUGUGGGAAUGGUGCUGUGGAGGCAGGGAGGGAGCAGGGAUGAGCUUAGCCAAAAGGAUAUGAAGUUGCACACCAUUGCUGAUGAAGGUACCAGUCAAAGGCAAAAGACAAACAGCAGGUCUUGCAGAAAAGAAGUAUUAGCAUCACCUCUUGACCUGUCAUUCUCACACUGUUUUCCAUGGUCGCUAGGAUACUCUGAACUGGUUAAAUGGCAAAUGGUGGCGACUCUUCAUUGUUUGUUCCUCGUGCAGACAUUGCUCCCAUUUUGCCACAUGAUUUUAUACGCACACACACAGGGCUUUGUGGUGGCGGAGGCAGGAUACAGAGUCAGUAGACAAACAUCCAGCCUCGAGGAGUUUCCAGUGUGGUGGGGGAGGCUUGUGGAUUUUUAAAAUAAGCUGGCUCAUUAUCUUUUGGAAAUAGGUGAGACAUACAAUAUUUAAAAAAAAUUACCCCAGCAUUAUCUUAACUCGAUCUUUGGCCAAGAAUUCAAACUGGAAGCUCUGUAGGUUAAAAAAAAGAAAAAAAUUCAGAGCAUAAAAUAUGAGCCCUUUAUCUUCAGUGUCUGUGAGCUUCCUUGUGGACUAUAAAGGGAAAAUACGAAAAAGCUAGGAAAGAUUGAGGGUUUAAAACUAACUACAGAAAGCAGUGGUUUGUCUGGCAUGGUUUUCCACUCAUGGACCAGUUUGCUGCAUUGGCCGUGGGCUGUGAAGUUCUAGCUAAGAACAGUUACUGUGUUACUUUGUACAAAUCCUAUGCCUCUCUGAGCUCUGUCUUCAUCAUCUGCCAAAUGUGUUUAAUAAUAAGGACCUCACAGAGUUAUGUUAAAGGAGAAAAUGAAUAUAUGUUACCUUGUACAGUACUCACUGAGUGUUAUGAUAUGUGGGGAUCUGGAGUCUGACUGACCUGAGUUCAAAUGCUGGCUCUGCAGCUAUCCAGCUAUGUGGCCUUAGGCAAAUCAUUUAGCCCCUCUGAGCUUCCGUUUUCUCAACUGAAAACCUGGGCUGCCUUCUCAGUGUUGUUGUGAGGAGUGAGACGGUGCAGGUAAGAGAGCAAAGUGCAGGGUCUGGCCAAGAAUGAAUGUUUAAUAAAUUUGGGGUGGUCUUAGCUGCUUUGAAUGUAAUUCAUUCUACCAGCCUCCUACUACCCCCAGUGCUGCCCACUACUUGUGCCUCCCACUACCUAUCUGCUGAGCGGGAUGUACGCUGUUCAGUGGAGGAGCUUCUAGGGGCUUCUGGGCUUCUUCCCCAAGCAGGCCUCCAGUUCUGCAUCCUGCUCUCCUUGGGACCCUGGUGGAGGAAGGUUCUGAAGCCUCCAGUUCUCCACAGCAUGCCAUAAAAACCCCAGGAGAGAGCCCGUUAGCACCUGCACACUUGGGGACCCGUGUCAGCAGGAUGGCCGGGAGCUUCCUGCUGAAACCCGAGGGCAAGGCGGGUUCACUGAGGCCCUUCAUUAAGAUGAGUUAUGAGCCCGCGGGUCUCUCUGGCUCAAUUUGGCCCAGGCUGAGAGGCUGAGGCCCAGCCGGCCCCCUGCCUGCACGGCAUGAAACCCUCUUCCUCUGCUCCCCUCCCUGGCCGCUUCCCACCCCUCCGCGUACCCCCUACCCUCCUUUAAUGAAAGAGAAAGGCAUCGACCCCUCCAGGGGGUCCUCAGAGCAAGAGGUAGAGAUCAACCUAAGGAACUGUUUUCUUGUCACUGGCAGGCACCUGGCUGACCAGGCCUGGCCCAGGCCCUUUGUGACAUGUGCAGAGCACCCCCCAUCCUCCCCCUCCUGCCACAGGCCAUUUACAAGUCCACACAGCCAGGAGGGAGCGGGGCCAUGGGGGCCUCAGAGCUAGCUGUGCAUUCAUUCCCAUCCUAAGCCACAGGCAUUGGUCCAGGCCCCGAGAAUGCUCAGAUAAACCAAACAGACAAGUUCCGUGGUCCCACUGAGUCUUCAGAGACCACAGACACACAGACACACCGAGGGUGAAAUGGAAAUGUCAAGUUCUCGUAAGUACUAUGCAGAGAACGAACUAGUAGGGGGAGCUAGUGGUGGUCAGGAGCGGGGAGAACCCGGCUUGGGAGGUAUGAUAGUCAGGGAAGGUGCCCAAGGUGACAGGGAGGUGGUGACAUUCAAGCUGAGUUCUAACUCAGUGCUUCUCACACUUCACAUGGAUAGAAUCCCCUGGGGGCCUUUUUAAAAAUGCAGAUUCUGACUCAGAAGACCUGGGUGGGGCCUUAGACUGCAUUUCUGAAGACCUCCCAAGUGAGGCUGAUGCAGCUGGUCCAUGGACCACACUUUGAGCAGCAAGGUUCUAAAUGCCAAUGAGGCCUCACCUAGGGGGUUGCUUUAGACCUUCUUGCAGAGAAUGCUCCAGGCAGGGAAAUAGCCAAUGGAAAUGCAGAUGAGGACCAGCUCAGCUUGUUAGAAGCACCGAAGGCAGACUAGCAUGGCUCAAGAAAGGACUAGAAGCAAUCAGAGAGAGGCGGGGAAGAACCAGAUCAUGGAGGGCUCUGCAUGAAAGGCAAUGGGAACUCUGAAGUGAGUGCUGUCAUUAAUAGUUUUCCCUCGAUUGUUCUGUCUGUAUGUUAGACACUGAGUCCCUCCUGUGCUUCUGCCUAGAAUGUUCCUGGGCCUGAACCAAGCUCAGUCAACCCAUCACAGAUUUGGGGGACCUUGCAAGGAAAACUUUCAUAUAGUCCACUCUGGCAUAGCUAAAAUUUAGGCAAAUACUUUCCUCACUCUGGAGUUUCAGAAAGGGAGAAUUUCUUGACAAGAUACCUUCAAACUCACAAAAUUUUAGGACACAGCUUUUAUCAUUUCCCAGGAUUUAGGGACACAUACACCAGCAGCACCAAAAACACACCUAAAGAGAAAGCUCUGGGUCCACCGCAUCCCCCAUGCAAAGACACUUUAUUCCCCAAGUCUGCACUUAUUGGCUCAAAACAAAUAAAUGUAAAAAUCCUGGCCUCAACAAAUCCCCUCCUUCCUCCAUCUCCUACCAGAGUCACAGUUGCUUUAGACUUCCUUGUGGAAGGAGAAGAGACGACUAAAAUUCAAACCCUACCAUCAUCCCAGAGUGUCUGGUCCAAAAUUAGAACAAA